AGGCACAUCGUAUAAUGGGGGUACAGUGGUCUUUGACACCAUAGGUAGAAGUUCAAUUCUUUUUGUGCCUG
rnacentral:tRNA from 1 species